UACGAGGGGUGCAAACGUUAUUCGGAAUCAUUGGGCGUAAAGGGUACGUAGACGGCGAAAUAAGUCAGUCAUUAAAUCUUCUAGCUUAACUAGAAAUCUGUGACUGAAACUGAUUUGCUUGAGGAUGGAAGAGAGAAGCGGAAUUCUCGGAGUAGCGGUAAAAUGCGUAGAUCUCGAGAGGAACACCGAUGGCGAAGGCAGCUUCUUGGUCCAUAUCUGACGUUGAGGUACGAGAGCGCGGGGAGCAAACAGG
rnacentral:rRNA from 1 species